rnacentral:rRNA from 1 species
GAGCGGCCGAUGUCGGAUUAGCUAGUUGGUGGGGUAACGGCCUACCAAGGCGACGAUCCGUAGCUGGUCUGAGAGGACGACCAGCCACACUGGAACUGAGACACGGUCCAGACUCCUACGGGAGGCAGCAGUGGGGAAUUUUGGACAAUGGGCGAAAGCCUGAUCCAGCCAUGCCGCGUGAGUGAAGAAGGCCUUCGGGUUGUAAAGCUCUUUCGGCUGGGACGAAAAGGUCCGUGCUAACACCACGGAUCCAUGACGGUACCAGCAGAAGAAGCACCGGCUAACUACGUGCCAGCAGCCGCGGUAAUACGUAGGGUGCAGGCGUUAAUCGGAAUUACUGGGCGUAAAGCGUGCGCAGGCGGUCUAUUAAGACAGGUGUGAAAUCCCCGGGCUUAACCUGGGAACUGCGCUUGUAACUGAUAGGCUGGAGUGUGGCAGAGGGGGGUGGAAUUCCACGUGUAGCAGUGAAAUGCGUAGAGAUGUGGAGGAACACCGAUGGCGAAGGCAGCCCCCUGGGCUAACACUGACGCUCAUGCACGAAAGCGUGGGGAGCAAACAGGAUUAGAUACCCUGGUAGUCCACGCCCUAAACUAUGUCAACUGGUUGU